UUGGAGGGCAAGUCUGGUGCCAGCAGCCGCGGUAAUUCCAGCUCCAAUAGCGUAUAUUAAAGUUGUUGCAGUUAAAAAGCUCGUAGUUGAAUUUCGGGGUCAGUAGGCUGGUCGUGCCACAGGUAUGUACUGGUCUCACUGAUUCCUCCUUCCUGAUGAACCGUAAUGCCAUUAAUUUGGUGUUGCGGGGAAUCUGGACUGUUACUUUGAAAAAAUUAGAGUGUUUAAAGCAGGCAAUCGCUUGAAUACAUUAGCAUGGAAUAAUGAAAUAGGACGUUCGAUCCUAUUUUGUUGGUUUCUAGGAUUGACGUAAUGAUUAAUAGGGAUAGUUGGGGGCAUUAGUAUUCAAUUGUCAGAGGUGAAAUUCUUGGAUUUAUUGAAGACUAACUACUGCGAAAGCAUUUGCCAAGGAUGUUUUCAUUAAUCAAGAACGAAAGUUAGGGGAUCGAAGACGAUCAGAUACCGUCGUAGUCUUAACCAUAAACUAUGCCGACUAGGGAUCGGAUGAUGUUAAUUUUUUAAUGACUCAUUCGGCGCCUUACGGGAAA
rnacentral:rRNA from 1 species